AAGGCGAUUAGAUCAAAUUUCAAUAAAACCACUAACUAAACAUAAUAAGAGAAACAAAAAUAAAGGUUUACAAUUAAAACGAUAAAACAGUGAAUUUAAUUUCCACUGUAAAUAAAACCGAAAAAAUGGAAAGCAUUGCAUUAGUAUGGAAAUCUAUCCCUAGCAAGAGCCACAAUACAUUGUUUUGAUCCAGACUUUUGGAUUCAUUUGAAUCAAUAUUGAAUGGAUAUUAUUCAUGGGUGUUAAUCUAUUUUAAUGCAAUUAUCAAAUCUAGUCAUUUUAUACGGAUGAAUAUUUUCAUGAAAACUUUUGCGAGUUUCGUAACUCUGACAAACCAUGGCAACUCUGGUAAUGACAUCGUUUAUUUCAACUGACAGAUUCAAUUAAAACUGGUUCAGGAUUGACUAAAUGUGUGUUUCCUGAACACUUCAUCAAACUCACUUUUCAUUCAAACUAUCCUUGGUGAAUAAAUUAGUGUCGUUUAUAUCCCUAUAUCACUAUAAAAUUGAAACACUAGACGUAACUCUAGCUGUCCAACAAGUAUAAUACCUAAGGUAAAGGCUGAUGCAAUUAAAUGGUUCAAUGGAUAUCAAUAAUCAAAUUUAGCGCGGCUUACUUGGCUGUUAUGUCAGAGCAAGGAAGUAUGGUUACCAAUCUAUGACCAGCCGACCAAGCAAAGCAAGUAUCAUCAGGGGAAAAAGCACAUUUCCAGGUUUCAGAAUCGGAUGAAGGUGAUCCGUGGAUCGAUUUGUUUGGUACCAAUUGUUUCAAUACUUUGACACUUUCUGGUAAACAAAAUUACAGUGUUGUUAAUUGUUACCAAAUGUUACAGUCAAUGAGUUUUGUACAAAGAAAUGAAAAAUAUGUUGUUCCUGGAGCCAACUCUUUUAACCAAUUUGUAUAUUUAGCUUCACUUCAAAUAACAAGGCAGGUUUGGACAAGGAAGACAAUAAUAACAAGGAUGGAUUUGUUGGACAGAAAUAUCGAAUAAUCGUUGGGUAGAAAUGUCACCAAUCAAAAUGAGAUACAAUAACAAAGAAGUUAAAAGUUGCCGACUGUUAAAGUGACUGCUUACGGAUGAAAAUAAACUAAUGGUUGGAAAAUUGAUCAACAGAAUGCCGUAGAAUGAAAUGAAACAAUAAUGAUACUGAAUCAGAGUGAAUUCUCAAAUGAUAAACAUGCAAUAAGGAUUGUCAAAAUUACUAAACAUGCGUCAUGCUUUUCCUCAUCUUCUUUCCAUGGCUUCCUACUGAUUCAUAGAAGUAGAUUUUCAUCAACUCAUAUAUUUCCUAUCUCAUUUCAACUCUUAUACACCUUAUAAUACUCAUUUUCUGGUUGCUUUAACCUGAAAUCAAUAAAGACGCUGGUACCAUAUUUUGAUUAAUGGGAGGAUCUAUUUUGUUGACCCAAAACUUGUAUGCUCAUGGACAUAUUGGUGUGAUUAUUUUGUCAUUUUUCAAGCUUGAGAUCUUUUCAAGGAAAAACUUUUACCAUCAACCAGAGUUUAAUUCAAUUGCUUGACCAAAAUUAUUGUUUCCCAUCAAAUUGAUUGGUUAAUGCGUAUCAAAAGUCAACUAGCUGUUUCACUAGCUAAAGAUACAUUAAUCUUACCCUAAACUUGUGCUGACAUUGAGCAUACAAUUUUAUAACCACUUUGUGUCUAUGAAUAAAAAUGGGUUUCAUAAUUAUAUUAUAAAUAGCAUUUGUACAAUUAUCAUACAAUUUAUAACUAUGAAAUAUUGUAAUGCUAGAUGGAAAUUUCAUCAUCUACGAUCAAAAAUGUUCAUAAAAGAUUAACAUUGACAUUAAAAUUGACU